rnacentral:hammerhead_ribozyme from 1 species
ACCCAGCUUACUAGUCCCAAAUAGGACGAAACUCAUGUCUUGGAU